AUUGAACGCUGGCGGCAUGCCUAAUACAUGCAAGUCGAGCGGAUGAACGGAGCUUGCUCCUGGCUUCAGCUGCGGACGGGCGAGUAAUGCCCACGAAUCUGCCUUGCCUUGGGGGAUAACGUCCGUUCACGGGACCUAAUAUCGCACCCGUCCUGAGUGAGAACGGGGGGGUUCAUCGGACCUCGCGCUUUCAGAUGAGCCUAGGCGGGGUUAGCUAGCUGGUGUGGUAAAGGCCUACCAAGGCGACGAUCCGUAACUGGUCUGAGAGGAUGAUCGGUCACACUGGAACUGAGACACGGUCCAGACUCCUACGGGAGGCAGCAGUGGGGAAUAUUCGACAAUGGGCGAAAGCCUGAUGCAGCAACGCCGCGUGUGUGAAGAAGGUCUUCGGAUUGUAAAACUCUGUUAGUUGGGAGGAAGGGAAGUGUGUUAAUACCUGGAUGUCUUGACGGUACCAACAGAGAAAGCACCGGCUAACUUCGUG
rnacentral:rRNA from 1 species